UCAUCUGCCUGGGAUCAGAAUCUGGCCUUUCAUCUCUAUUUACUGGAAAGAUGCAAUGACAUUUUGUUUUCUAGGUCCAAUUAGUAUCAAUUCUUUAUUCAGCCCUACUGUUAUAAAAUGGAAAAUUCCAUCUGAGGGGCUGUCAGUGGCAUAGAAAAAUUAGUAAAAGGCUUAGUUCCCAUGUCAUCAGUGGGAAAGUAUUUUAUUAUUUUGGCCACGGAUUUUAUGCAUGGCCAGAAACCAGCUUUUAUCCUAUUUCCUUUGUAUUGGAGUAUUUUCUGCUUGUAUUUCAACUCCUGUUCUGCACACAAAGCUUCUUGUACUUCCUGUUAGGGGUGCCUACAACUUUUGGAGAUAAUUUUCAGUGAUGACAGGCUGAAGAAACUGGUUCUAAAGCACAACACAUAAAGGCUUACUGUAACAACAAAAGAGCUUAUUGUGACAACAUAGAGCAAACAAAGCAGGAAAACCUUGCUCCCUUUCAGGGGUUCAAUAUAGAUGCUGACACCUCAGUUCCCAAGCAGAGGUCAUAAUAAAUCGAACUUAUCUGUUGCAAGUCAGAUACUGCUGAUCAGAUUCUCCUUUCAACACCUACACAGCACUACUCUAUUCCUGUUGCCUGACUGUGUGUACCUAUUGCUCUUGAGGCAGGAUUUGGUCUGUGGCUGAAACUUGUUGUCUGUGCAUCCUGUUGAAUUGUCCAGGACUUACUGUAGGGAGUAACCCAGCUAUUCUGUACUGAAGGACACAAUAUGUGCUAGAUGAGCAAGUUGUCAUUAUGUGGACUGGAAUGUGUAGCAUUAUCU